AUCAAUUGUCCAAUUUCCAUAAACAUAGUAGGAGUCUAUAUCUGAAUUCAUUGCAGCCGCCGUUGUCAUAUUGGGCUUAUUUCCAUCACCACCACAGAACCAGUAUAAAUUUUCAGUAAAAGUAUCUGCUGACCAAGUUGUUCCGCUCAUGUCUGUGAAAUGAACUUCCUUUCCGCUGUCACAAAUCUCCAAAACUGUAUCGUUUGCACAAUUCGCAACGUAGC